rnacentral:lncRNA from 1 species
UCAUUUAUCUUCAAUGCUCUAAAUUUUUGCUUCUUCCACCUUUGCCUAUAGGAUGAACACAUCCUGAGAAUGCAGGCCCAGGCAGAACCAGGGACAACACAACUAGCAGACGAAGUUGAAUAAUGACUCUCACCCAGACCUCCCUUCACUUUGGUGCCCAGAAUUUGGUCUUGUAAAAGAUUCAGACAUCCAUGCUUCUCUAAUUAGAAUAGGCUUUACUUCUAUAGAUAAGCACAGGUAAACCAGGAGAUUAGAAUCUAUACAAUAUACCUAGAACAUCUUUUUAGAGCAAGUUUCACUUGAAGAUUUAGGGGAAGGGGUGUUAAGAAAUGUUCUUUCACUUUAAGAGCAAGUCCAGUGUUUUUAAUAUUGAAGUAUGGAUGACUUACAGGACUAUGCCUAAUUUGCAGGAAAUUUGAAUAUAAAACACAAGACUUUUUGGUAUUUUACUUUAUGAUGGGCUUUUGGGGUCCUCAUCUGUAAUCUUUCUGCAAUACCAGCACAACCUUUCCAUUUCAGUCGAGAAGUCUGGUCCACGAUGUCCUAGGUAGACCGUGAAGCUCUGAAGAACAUGUGCCUUGCACUUGCUCCUGGUUCAAUUUGUCCAUUGCUCAUCAUAAAUCUCAGAGACACCGGAGAGAACCAAGCAUCACCAACAGUGACUGAUAUGGUUUGGCUGUGUCCCCACCCAAAUCUCAUCUUGAAUUGUAAUCCCCAUAAUCCCCCCGAGUCGUGGGAGAGACCUGCUGGGAGGUAAUUGAAUCAUGGGGGUGGUUUCCCCUAUGCUGUUCUCGUGAUAGUGACAGAGUUCUCACAAGACCUGAUGGUUUUAUAAGCGUCUGGCAUUUCCCCUGCUGGCACUCUUUCUCUCCUGCUGCUCUGUGAAGAGGUGCCUCCUAUCAUGAUUGUAAGUUUCCUGAGGCCUCUCUACUCAGGCAUAACUGUGUCAAUUAACCUCUUUUCUUUAUAAAUUACCAGACUUGGGUAUUUCUUCAUAGCAGCAUGAGAACAUAUGAAUACAAUGACCAGUUAUGGAUGAGAAGUGCCCAACUGCACAAUCUUAUCGAUUUCAUACCACCAGGUCUCACAGAAAUGGUACGGAGAUGUCUCAAGCAAGAUCAAAUCAGAAAAAUCAUGACUCCAUGAGGAGCCAGGCACAGUGACUCCCACCUGCAAUCCCAGCUACUCAGGAGGCUGAGGCAGGAGAAUCACUUGAUCCCUAGGAUUUGAAGCUGCAGUGAGUUAUGAUCAUACCACUGCACUCCAACCUGGGUGAUAGAGGGAGACUCUAUCUCUUAAAAAAUAUAUAUCCAUAAGGGUAGAGGUCUUUAUUUUGUUCAUGAACUUAUCCACCAAGCACAUAAAACAGUUCAUGCUCUGUAAACAUAUGUCGAAAAUUAAUUCUAUAUGCUACUUCCCCAAACAUUAUUUUCUAAUUAUCUUCCCAAAUGGCUAGUUAGAUGAAAAUCAGUUGUCUCUUGUACCAUUCUACAUUCAGAAGGAAUGAAAGGUAUGCUAUAAGGAAAGGGGAGUGUGAGUAACUAAUUUGAAGGAAAAAAGUAACCAAGGUUUUCAGUGUUUGUGGAUGGAUAUAUAGACAUCUGUCCCUCUUUGAGUCAUUGGGAAUUUGACAUCGUUUCCCAGAGCCAAUAACUGUUUGUCCUGUUGGGAAGCCUCUGUCUUGCACCAUCAGCCACAUAGCAAUCUCCUCUGCUCAGCAGUCACGCUCCCUUUCAUCCACUCCUGAUGAGGUCAUUUCCUGCCUGGCUGAACCAGGGGCUUAGUUGAGAGUGAGCUGGCCAAGAUUCAAUCAGGGUAAGCCUGAAGCUGUGUGCUUGAACUGGGGAAACGCUUCAGGAGUCACAGGAGCGAUCUCUUCCAUGUGCGGAUGGGAUGCAUUUAACCCUUGCCAUUGACAGUGACAGCUUUAGGUCAGGAUGGAAGCAAGGCUUGAGGACACAACUGUGGGCUAGAAACCAGAACACCUGGGUGCCAGUGCCAAGGUCCUUUCAGCUCUAAUUUAAUGUUGCUCCAGGCAUCUCUGAGGAUUUCUGAGAUAGCCUGGAUACCAUCUGUGCUGGUGUGGAGGUCGCUACCUCCCGUUCCAAAUGCUGGCACCAGCACAUGUUAGAAAGGUGCAGAGACAAAUGAUAGCUACACAUAUAAUAAAAGUUUGAUUUUAACAUUAGAAUGCACAAAAGAAGAUAUAAUAAAGGAAAGGACACUAUGUAGAACUGUAAGAAAAUUAGAAAUUCUCUCUAAAACUUAAAAUGUAAUAAUAAUAAAAUUUUAAAAAAAGAAAUUCUCUCUAUAGAAAGGAGCACUAACUAAAUUAAAAGAUGAACAAUAAACCAGGAGGAGAGAAGUUAGAACAAUUUGACAGGCAAGUGAUUAAAAUUCUACAUACGGGGCUUCUAACAAGUCUGUCUGCCUAUCACUAGCUAUGUGACUUUGGGGGGUCAUUUAAUUUCAGACUUCUAUUAUAUUAAUAGGGAUAAUAAUCAAAUAUAUUUCA